CUGGCGGAGCUAUAGGACCUGAGAGAGAGCAGUGCUGGCAGAGGCCAGGGAGGGACCUGAAGGCGCUCUGGGCUGGCUGCUGGGACUCAACCAGGACAAGGCCCUGAGCAUGGACCUCUGCAGCGGAGAGAGCUACAGUUCUCAUCUGUUCCAAAUGGCAGAAUAUUUGUCCCUGGAUUGCCGUUGCUGUUACUUGGGUUGCUGCUCAUUGAAAGAGACCGGAACAACCCUUGCCCAGCCAGUAUUUAUGGAGCAUGUCACAAGCCAAGGAUUUCAGACAAACGACACCCAGAAAAUUCAGGGCCAGGCGCUGGAGCAGAAGAAAUGGGUGGCUGUCAGGAAGCCAGUCACAGGCAAGCUCUGCCUGGUCUCAGCCCCAUGUGUUUCUCCCAGACAGGUGUGGAAGGUAGCAUGGUGGAAUCAGAGAAGUGGAAACCCCAUUUACAUGUGAAUCAGCAGGAGGAUGGGAAGCCCACAGGAAGGGAAGAACACCAGGAGGUCCUCACACCUCUUCAGACAAGUUCAAUGAAAUCUCAGAGAGAUAAGGGGAAACAGAGUCAUUUUGGCAUCUUUCAUCUAGGAAGACCAGAGAAACCAGCACCUGGUACUUCUGUGGAUGGUCCCAUGUGAGAG